UGUGUGACUGCGUACCUUUUGUAUAAUGGGUCAGCGACUUAUAUUCUGUAGCAAGGUUAACCGAAUAGGGGAGCCGAAGGGAAACCGAGUCUUAACUGGGCGUUAAGUUGCAGGGUAUAGACCCGAAACCCGGUGAUCUAGCCAUGGGCAGGUUGAAGGUUGGGUAACACUAACUGGAGGACCGAACCGACUAAUGUUGAAAAAUUAGCGGAUGACUUGUGGCUGGGGGUGAAAGGCCAAUCAAACCGGGAGAUAGCUGGUUCUCCCCGAAAGCUAUUUAGGUAGCGCCUCGUGAAUUCAUCUCCGGGGGUAGAGCACUGUUUCGGCAAGGGGGUCAUCCCGACUUACCAACCCGAUGCAAACUGCGAAUACCGGAGAAUGUUAUCACGGGAGACACACGGCGGGUGCUAACGUCCGUCGUGAAGAGGGAAACAACCCAGACCGCCAGCUAAGGUCCCAAAGUCAUGGUUAAGUGGGAAACGAUGUGGGAAGGCCCAGACAGCCAGGAUGUUGGCUUAGAAGCAGCCAUCAUUUAAAGAAAGCGUAAUAGCUCACUGGUCGAGUCGGCCUGCGCGGAAGAUGUAACGGGGCUAAACCAUG
rnacentral:rRNA from 1 species